rnacentral:rRNA from 1 species
GUAACGGCGAGUGAAGCGGCAACAGCUCAAAUUUGAAAUCUGGCCUCACGGUCCGAGUUGUAAUUUGUAGAGGAUGCUUUUGGCGAGGUGCUUUCCGAGUUCCCUGGAACGGGACGCCAUAGAGGGUGAGAGCCCCGUACGGUAAGACCACCGAGCCUCUGUAAAGCUCCUUCGACGAGUCGAGUAGUUUGGGAAUGCUGCUCUAAAUGGGAGGUGUACGUCUUCUAAAGCUAAAUACCGGCCAGAGACCGAUAGCGCACAAGUAGAGUGAUCGAAAGAUGAAAAGCACUUUGAAAAGAGGGUUAAAAAGUACGUGAAAUUGUUGAAAGGGAAGCAUUCAUGACCAGACUUGGGCUUGGUUGAACAUCCGGCGUUCUCGCCGGUGCACUCUGCCAGUCCAGGCCAGCAUCAGUUUGCCCCGGGGGACAAAGGCGGUGGGAAUGUGGCUCUCUUCGGGGAGUGUUAUAGCCCGCCGUGUAAUGCCCUGGGGCGGACUGAGGAACGCGCUUCGGCACGGAUGCUGGCGUAAUGGUCAUCAAUGACCCGUCUUGAAACACGGACCAAGGAGUCGUCUUCGUAUGCGAGUGUUCGGGUGUCAAACCCCUACGCGUAAUGAAAGUGAACGUAGGUGAGAGCUUCGGCGCAUCACCGACCGAUCCUGAUGUUCUCGGAUGGAUUUGAGUAAGAGCAUACGGGGCCGGACCCGAAAGAAGGUGAACUAUGCCUGUAUAGGGUGAAGCCAGAGGAAACUCUGGUGGAGGCUCGCAGCGGUUCUGACGUGCAAAUCGAUCGUCAAAUAUGGGCAUGGGGGCGAAAGACUAAUCGAACCUUCUAGUAGCUGGUUUCCGCC